GAAUCGUCAAGGCUGGAAAAGAUCAAGUCCAACCAUUAGCCCAUCCCCACCAUGCCCACUAACCAUGUCCAUAAGGUGCCACUUCUACACGUUACUUGGGACACCUCCAGGACUGGUGCCUUCACCACCCGUACCUGUGCACAACUUCAGCGAUCAUGGAUGGGCCUCUCAGUGUUACUGAAGCAACCAAAUAUGUUGAAGCCUAAGGUCAGUAGCAGGACCCAGGCCAUGUGCACAGUGACCUUGCCUGGUUUAGCAUUGCAGGGAUGUCCCCAAGCCCCUGCUGUAUGAGGCUGCAUUGUGUGGAUCUCAGGAACAAUCAGCCCUAAGACUCGCUCUAAAUGGCCUAAAUCCAUACGUAAUAUGACAAUAGUGGGGAUCUCUGAAGUUUGUUGGACAACGAAUCUGAACUGCAGGGGAACUGACGGUUGGUUCUCCGAAAAUGAGUGGAUCUUUGCACUACGAAGGGGAAAACAACUGCAGGUGAUGGAAACAGUAGACCUGCCAGAGGGCCGCUGGCAGCUGCAAACCUCAGCGUUUGGCUUGUGAGCCCAGUGAGUAAACUUGAGCUGGAAAUGGCUGCAAAAUCUGAAUGUGGG
rnacentral:lncRNA from 1 species